GCCAUGGCAAAGGGUGGUAGCUCAGUGGUAGAGCUUCUGCUUUCCAUGCAGAAGGUUCCUGGUUCAAUCCCCAUCACCUCCAGGUAGGGCU